rnacentral:rRNA from 1 species
GAUCAUGGCUCAGGAUGAACGCUGGCGGCGUGCCUAAUACAUGCAAGUCGAACGCUUCACUUCGGUGAAGAGUGGCGAACGGGUGAGUAAUACAUAAGUAACCUGGCCUUUACAGGGGGAUAACUAUUGGAAACGAUAGCUAAGACCGCAUAGGUGUCAUAGCCGCAUGGAGAUGAUAUGAAAUAUGCUACGGCAUAGGUAGAGGAUGGACUUAUGGCGCAUUAG